rnacentral:rRNA from 1 species
CACGUAGGCAGCGAGCGUUGUUCGGAAUUACUGGGCGUAAAGGGCUCGUAGGCGGCCAACUAAGUCGGACGUGAAAUCCCUCGGCUUAACCGGGGAACUGCGUCCGAUACUGGAUGGCUGGAGGUUGGGAGAGGGAUGCGGAAUUCCAGGUGUAGCGGUGAAAUGCGUAGAUAUCAGGAGGAACACCGGUGGCGAAGGCGGUUCUCUGGGCAUGUCCUGACGCUGAGGAGCGAAAGUGUGGGGAGCGAACAGG